rnacentral:tRNA from 1 species
GGGGGUAGUUCAGUGAUAGAGUGCUUGCCUAGCACAUGCAAGGCCUUGGGUUCAGUUCCCAAUACCACCA